AGAAAAGGUAUCCUACAGACUGGUGCUUGGACCAGAGAUUAAGAAGUAACGCAUGAGAUUACAGGGGACUCUAACAACUUAAUGACAGGCCAACUUGCAACACCCAACAAAAUAAAAUCCUAUAUGGAGAUUUCUUCACAUGCAUGUACUCCUACUGCAGGUCAUCUGGGUCAGAGAGCUGAACCAAGAUGAGCCUGCCUCUGUGUCAAAGUUGGUAAGGUACAUAGAAUUCUUCCUCUUACGAAGAGAAAUUCUGUCCUAAAAGUAUUCUCUCACUUUUCUUUUUGGAGAAUAAUUAUUUUAGGUAUUUGCUUUUGUACUGUUAUUUUCAACUUGAUCUUUUAAUUAAUUGAAACUUCAAGUUGCAAGUUGUAGAUUAGGGAAGCCAAUUAUUUUGAAUUUCCUUGGGUUUGCUCCCAUAAUACUUACGUUGUGUCACACUUAAUUAUGUUGAUGGUAUAAAGUAGCAUACAGUUUUUCGUACAUAACUCUUUUAAUUUUGUCUUGGAAAAUGCUACGCCUGUCAUAAAUACGACCUACAACAUCCAUAGUAUAAUUUUAUUUAAAUACAGUAUAACUGCUCUAAGUAAAGUUUCAGCAGUUUUACUUCAGUUUUAGUGACUAUUCCCUAAAAUAUUGUUUGUGCUUUAAUAUCAGCAGUUGGUUACAUAACUUCAGAAUCUUUCUGAAAAAAAUAACGGAGUAUAUACUGCAUCUAUAAAUGCCAAGCAUGAAAUGAUUAGUAAGGGUGGAUAAAUAUACUCAUGACAGCAUACACUUUGCCAAAAUCAUGAAUUGAAUAUCUGCUUUUUACAGAUCUGAUCUACAUUUCAUUAAGUCAUUUGAUAGACUCUCUUAAGUGAUCUUUGGAUCAGGUAUUUGAAUGAAAAAAGAAAACGUUCUUCUGUGUUUGUUUUUAUUUUCCAGGUUUAUAUGUGUGAACUGGAUGCAAAGCUAUUUUUCACAGUACCUGUGCAUCCAGACCACAGCUACUUUUGACCCUACCAGCUAUUUUUCAUGUUUUAUAUUGAGAGAGGUAUGUUGCAUGAAUAACAACUGAAGCCUGAUUUCAUUAGGGAGAGUAUAUCUGUUUGUUGUUUUUUUUUUUUUUUCAAGUUUCUCUUACCUUCUAGUUACCAUGGGAGUAAUUGUAUGACAACGUAUUGUAGAAUGUCUGUACCUAAGUUAGUGAAAUCAAGAAGCAGUGCAGGAGAGUCAUUCAUUAAAUAAAGCUUGUAGAACAAGUCUCUGAAGCUUUUGC
rnacentral:lncRNA from 1 species